GACGAAGGAUGCAAGCGUUAUCCGGAUUCAUUGGGUUUAAAGGGAGCGUAGGUGGCCUUAUAAGUCAGUGGUGAAAUCUCUGGGCUUAACCCAGAAAUUGCCAUUCAUACUGUAGGGCUUGAGUAUAGUUGCCGUUGGCGGAAUAUGACAUGUAGUGGUGAAAUACAUAGAGAUGUCAUAGAACACCGAUUGCGAAGGCAGCUGACGAAACUAUAACUGACACUGAGGCUCGAAAGUGCGGGGAUCAAACAGG
rnacentral:rRNA from 1 species